UUGAGUGUUCCACGUCCCAGAUUUGUCUGUCUCUUAGUUGUACUUUUCGUCGCAACCUCAUUUGUAUCAUGGAGACGUUUUGAUAAGAUUCAAAUCUUACGACAGCCUUACCCUUCGAGAACUGGACAUCAAAAGCAAAGUCAUGGACUGGAAAUGCAUAUCAGUGAUGUCGAAAUCGAUGAUACAAAUAGGCAUGCAUCUCCAAGAACCUCAAAGAUGUCAAUUGUCAACCCUGAACUUGGGUACCGACUUAAUGAAACAAUCACAGUGAAGAUUGUACUAUUCGACCA